CCUGGAAAAAGAACUUUCUAAAGAUUUUGUGUGUGGUUUUUUUAUUUUUUAUUUUUAACACAAAUGUCCUAUUUGCACUGGAUAUGACAUAAUGCAGUAGUCAUGGGGAUUGUGAUUAUAAUGUACUUGGCAUAAUGGCUCUGGGUAAUGGGAUUGUGUCUGUGAUGUUGAAAGUAAUUGACUAAAGGGUCUUUGAAGAGGUGCCUGGAAGUACCCUAGGUACAGAUAAUCGGAACCUGGACAAAGUGAGAAGGAAACAGGGGAGCCCUAGUUGGAUUUGAAUGUUGCUCUCAAGGAGAAAGUUGACAGACAGUGAUUUUCCCUCAAGAGUUCCAAGGUCAGUGACAUGGUCCAUGUGAUUAGAAAAAUUAGGCAAACUUUCUCUUACAGUAUGGUGUGAUAGUACUCUGUAUUGAUUGUGCAAACUGUAUUUGUACAUAUAUCUCGAUGGCUGGGAAAGGUAUUCUCAGUGUUCUCUCCCCUCCCCCCCUCCUGCUAAUACCAAUAAAUGGGCUGAUACACCUACAUCUUCCCAUCUGCCAUGGAAAGGGAGCUUUAAGGAAUCUUGCCUUUAUCAGUUUCACACACCAGAAAAAUAAAUAUAUUGUAUAGAUUGAAGAAGUAGCAAAUUUACUCUUUAUUUUAAACAAUAAGACAGAGUAGAAAGAAGGAUGAAAGUUGAUGGAAUUUUACUUUGUCUUGACAAUUAUUGAAUACUAGUACUCUUACCAGGCAAUUUGAGUUUUUAUUUGUCACUGAUAUUAAUGCCAUAGUAUUGUGUCUCUGGGGAAAUAGCACACAUUAAGACUCUUUCAUAAUUAAUUGUAUAAAUGAUUGUUUUCAAAUGCACUGAAGUUCAUUUUUUUUUAAAUUUCUAAAUUGUAUUAAUCCCUACCUUCUGUGUAGAAUUUUUAAAGAUAACAUGAGACAACCCUUAGCAAAGUGGCAUGCACACAGUAAGGCCUUUUUUUCUUAUCUAUGCACAUUUUGAUUUCCCCUUAAAUGAACAGAAUGGCCUCAGAAUUAGAAAUCUCACUUUUAUAAGUACUGAAAAGUACUUAUAUAAGUACUUUGAAAGAAUCUAUAACUGAUUAUCUUGUCUAAGAUAAUAGAUUUGUUCUCUUUUGUAAUAAAACCCUAAAGGGACUAUGUAUUUUUUUGAUAAGUACACAGCAUAAUACUUGCACACUCUUAAGUAUGAUGAAAUUAAAGACUCAUAUAAACGCCGUGGCUUCUAGUAGAUAUCAUAGAUAUUGUCAUGUAUUAGAGUAACUUUUGGAGAAGAUCAUUAUUUAAGGGAUAUUGAAAUAUUUCAAGUUGAACUCUGAUUUGGUCAUUCUAUGUUACUACCUUCAUUUCUAAUUUUUCUACUUCUUGAAUCUGAGUGCCUCAUACAUAUCAAACUGAGUAUUUAUUAAAAGUUUAUAGGUUCAUAGGAUUGAAGUCCUUACAGAUAAGCCCUUUCCUUACACCAGGAUGUUUGUAUUCUAAUUGCCAAGAUGAAUAAUAUUUACAAGAAUUGGUAAUAUAAGGGUAGUAACUAAAGUGAGAAUAAGGGCUUUUAAUUUUUCAAAUUUGAAUAUUAAGUGUAAAAUGGAAUGUGCUAUUUUUUAAGGAGAGUUGGAGAAGAACCCAAAUCUCAUAAAGUAUGACUAUGAGUAACUAGAUUCCAAAGGAAAUGACUCAGCAACCAGGCCACAGUUCAGUAGGUGCGAUUGAGUGUAGACCAGGAGAUUGAUCCUCUCCCCCUCCCCACCUUGGGUUGGAGCAGGAGUUUUCCACUCACAACAAACAAACAGGUGUUAUUCUAUCCCGUUUUAUUCUUAAUUACUAGUACGUGACACAAGACAUUAACUGAUAAUGUACAUCACUAAAAUACUAGAUUCAAGGCAGAAACAUUUCUAUUAAAUGUCAUUUUUAGUAAAACAUGACAUAAAAUACAAGAGACUUGUGUUGAGUAGAAUCUACAACAGCUAAUGUGAUGAAUCCAGUAGUGCUCUGGGUCUGUGGCCUCCUAACAGUUCUGCCAACUUUCCACUAUAAAUCCUUUCAGGGGUUACCCCCUCGGUCAAAAUAAUCUCCCCAGUCCAGUUGCCUUUACUCGGCUACUUGCUUUAAUUAAAAAGAUUGUUAGGCCCUAGCCAAUUUGGCUCAGUGGAAACGGGUCGGCCUGUGGUCUAAAGGGUUCUGGGUUUGAU